GACGAACGCUGGCGGCGUGCUUAAUACAUGCAAGUCAACGAUUUUUAAGAUAGCAAUAUUUUAAAAAUAGUGGCGCACGGGUGAGUAACACGUAGAUAAUCUGCCUUUAGGUCUGACAUAACUCGUCGAAAGACGGGCUAAUAUCAGAUAAAACAAUAACUUGGCAUCAAGUAAUUGUCAAAGCUUCGGCGCCCAAAGAUGAGUCUGCGGACCAUUAGGUAGUUGGUGGAUUAACAGCCCACCAAGCCAACGAUGGAUAGCUGGUCUGAGAGGAUGAUCAGCCACACUGGAACUGAGACACGGUCCAGACUCCUACGGGAGGCAGCAGUAAGGAAUAUUGCUCAAUGGGAGAAAUCCUGAAGCAGCAACGCCGCGUGAAGGAAGAAGGGUCUUACGACUUGUAAACUUCUAGUAGAAGAGGAAAAAUACUCCGAGUAUACUCCGGAAUUGAUUAGUAC
rnacentral:rRNA from 1 species